rnacentral:rRNA from 1 species
GACGUAGGAUGCAAGCGUUGUCCGGAAUUAUUGGGCGUAAAGAGUUCGUAGGCGGUUUAUCAAGUCUGGUGUUAAAGCCCGAGGCUCAACCUCGGUUCGGCACUGGAUACUGGUAGACUGGAGUACAGUAGAGGCAAGGGGAAUUCCUAGUGUAGCGGUGAAAUGCGUAGAUAUUAGGAGGAACGCCAGUGGCGUAAGCGCUUUGCUGGGCUGUUACUGACGCUGAGGAACGAAGGCGAGGGGAGCAAAUGGG